ensembl:lncRNA
GGGCCAUCCCACCUGCACGUGGCACAAGGGCAGGCUCACCUACCUCCCCACUGCCUAUGGGAUACAGUGAGUGCUGGGGAGUAAAUACAAUUAACGCCUAAUUAUCCCCUGCAGCAGCUUCCUCAGCAUGCCCUGCAGCCCCCUCGGGGUUCAGUGAAGGGGCUGUGCCAAUCCCUCCCUUUGGAAAGGGAGCCCUGUCCCCACGUCCUGGGGUGAAUCCCUGAGCCAGGACACCCCACACCCCAGGGCUGACCCUGUCCCCAUGUCCUGGGGUGAAUCCCUGAGCCAGGACACCCCACACCCCAGGGCUCACCUUCCUGCUCCACAGAAAUCCAACCAAUCCUCUGCUCCUGCUGCAGGCUCUCCAACGGCACCAACACCUUUUCCUUUCCAGAAGAAGCUCCCAGCCAGGUGUUGUUUGGCUCUGGGGCUCUGAGCAGGCUGGAUUUUGGCUCCAAUUACAGCGUGGUGGUUUCUGCCUCCAAUCCAUUAGGAAAUGCCUCUUCCCAGCCGCUCACCUUCACACUGAUAGACAUAGGUAAGGCACCACUGCCCCCCUCUCAGACAGCCCCAGACCUUGGGGAGACCUGAAAAUAGUCAGAAGCUCUUGGAAAAAACAUUAAACAUUAAACCUCUUGGACAAAACACCCAUUCAGCCUAAAGCAAUAAUCCUAUUUUCCACCUGACCCCCUUCAGUGCUGUGCUGCCUCUCUGAGCCCUGUUUCUUUCUCUGUUUCUCUGUUUGUUUCUCUGUUUGGGUGCCAGUGAAGCCGCUCCCUCCCGAGUUUUCGGUGGAAUUCGAUGAUUCCUCAGGCACCAGCUGCACCAUCGUGCGGCACCACGAGGCACAGGCCCAGCACUGCAGGCUGAGGCACCGACCCCUCGGCGGGCACGGCUGGAGCACGGUGGAGAGCCUGAGCAGGGAGAGAUUCCACCUGCAGGGGCUGGAGCCAGACACAGCCCAUGAGUUCCAGGUGAGCUGCAGGAUGCUGCCGGGCCGGGGGCUGUGGAGCGACUGGAGCAGCAGCCAGGGCAGCACCCCAGCAGCAGGUAAAGGUGAAUUUGUGCUAAACUGGGAAAUUGGUACAGAACUGCCCUGCCCAGGGCAGCACCCCGGCAGCAGGUAAUGGCUAACUGGUAUAAAACUGGGAAAUUGGUAAGGAUCUGCCCUGUCCUGAGCCAGCUCUGGGCUCUGCGCCCACAGAAACUCCAGCUCAGGAGCCCAAAUUGCUGCUGGGCUCCUCUGGGCAAGCUCCAGAUCCAGACCCCGAGCCAACAGGGAGAAGUUUCUGUAAGAAAAUUGCGUUUUUAAUGAGCAAAGAGUGAAGCUGCUCCAGACCAGAGCUCCCUGAGAACAGCUGAAGGAUCUGGGGGUUGGAAUGAGAUGAUUACCCCAGUAAUUCUGUGAUUCUCUGCUCUCCUGCUUGGCUUUGGCUGCUCGUUUUUGUGAAUUACUGCCAGCCCAUGGGGCUGGUGCUGUUCUGAGUCACCCAGUUCCCCUUUCCCCCGUGACAGCAGCGAUUUCUGUAAGAGACAUUGAUUGACUGGGGAGGUGUGAACUUUUCCCUGCCUCCCCCACCUUCCUCUCAACAGCCUUCUCCCCGUUUGGCUGCACCCCGAGUCUGUGGCUGUCACCCCCACCCUGCCCCUGGGGUUUUCAGCUGAUCUUUGUGCCCUCAGAGCAAGGGGAGGCUGCACACGAGCAGCUCUGGGUGCAUCCUCACUGCCCUGUGCUGCAGGAGCUGAGCUUCUCCACAAGUUACCACCCAAAAUCAAC